AGAGCGAACGCUGGCGGCAGGCCUAACACAUGCAAGUCGAGCGCCCGUAGCAAUACGGGAGCGGCAGACGGGAUAGUAACACGUGGGAACUCGCCCUUCGGUUCGGAAUAACUCAGGGAAACUUGAGCUAAUACCGGAUACGCCCUUACGGGGAAAGAUUUAUUGCCGAAGGAACGGCCCGCGUCCGAUUAGCUAGUUGGUGAGGUAAUGGCUCACCAAGGCGACGAUCGGUAGCUGGUCUGAGAGGAUGACCAGCAUCACUGGGACUGAGACACGGCCCAGACUCCUACGGGAGGCAGCAGUGGGGAAUAUUGGACAAUGGGCGCAAGCCUGAUCCAGCCAUGCCGCGUGGAUGAUGAAGGCCCUAGGGUUGUAAAGUCCUUUCGACGGGGAAGAUAAUGACGGUACCCGUAGAAGAAGCCCCGGCUAACUUCGUGCCAGCAGCCGC
rnacentral:rRNA from 1 species